rnacentral:rRNA from 1 species
UCCAGGCAAAUCCGGAUAAUCAAGGCUGAGGUGUGAUGACGAGGCACUACGGUGCUGAAGUAACAAAUGCCCUGCUUCCAGGAAAAGCCUCUAAGCAUCAGGUAACAUCAAAUCGUACCCCAAACCGACACAGGUGGUCAGGUAGAGAAUACCAAGGCGCUUGAGAGAACUCGGGUGAAGGAACUAGGCAAAAUGGUGCCGUAACUUCGGGAGAAGGCACGCUGGUGUGUAGGUGAAGCCCCUGCGGGUGGAGCUGAGACCAGUCGAAGAUACCAGCUGGCUGCAACUGUUUAUUAAAAACACAGCACUGUGCAAACACGAAAGUGGACGUAUACGGUGUGACGCCUGCCCGGUGCCGGAAGGUUAAUUGAUGGGGUUAUCCGUAAGGAGAAGCUCUUGAUCGAAGCCCCGGUAAACGGCGGCCGUAACUAUAACGGUCCUAAGGUAGCGAAAUUCCUUGUCGGGUAAGUUCCGACCUGCACGAAUGGCGUAAUGAUGGCCAGGCUGUCUCCACCCGAGACUCAGUGAAAUUGAACUCGCUGUGAAGAUGCAGUGUACCCGCGGCAAGACGGAAAGACCCCGUGAACCUUUACUAUAGCUUGACACUGAACAUUGAGCCUUGAUGUGUAGGAUAGGUGGGAGGCUUUGAAGCGUGGACGCCAGUCUGCGUGGAGCCAACCUUGAAAUACCACCCUUUAAUGUUUGAUGUUCUAACGUUGGCCCCUGACCGGGGUUGCGGACAGUGUCUGGUGGGUAGUUUGACUGGGGCGGUCUCCUCCCAAAGCGUAACGGAGGAGCACGAAGGUUAGCUAAUCCUGGUCGGACAUCAGGAGGUUAGUGCAAUGGCAUAAGCUAGCUUGACUGCGAGCGUGACGGCGCGAGCAGGUGCGAAAGCAGGUCAUAGUGAUCCGGUGGUUCUGAAUGGAAGGGCCAUCGCUCAACGGAUAAAAGGUACUCCGGGGAUAACAGGCUGAUACCGCCCAAGAGUUCAUAUCGACGGCGGUGUUUGGCACCUCGAUGUCGGCUCAUCACAUCCUGGGGCUGAAGUAGGUCCCAAGGGUAUGGCUGUUCGCCAUUUAAAGUGGUACGCGAGCUGGGUUUAGAACGUCGUGAGACAGUUCGGUCCCUAUCUGCCGUGGGCGCUGGAGAAUUGAGGGGGGCUGCUCCUAGUACGAGAGGACCGGAGUGGACGCAUCACUGGUGUUCGGGUUGUCAUGCCAAUGGCACUGCCCGGUAGCUAAAUGCGGAAGAGAUAAGUGCUGAAAGCAUCUAAGCACGAAACUUGCCCCGAGAUGAGUUCUCCCUGAGACUUUAAGUCUCCUGAAGGAACGUUAAAGACGAUGACGUUGAUAGGCCGGGUGUGUAAGCGCAGCGAUGCGUUGAGCUAACCGGUACUAAUGAACCGUGAGGCUUAACCUUACAACGCCGAAG